UGGGGAAUAUUGCACAAUGGGCGAAAGCCUGAUGCAGCGACGCUGCGUGAGGGAUGACGGCCUUCGGGUUGUAAACCUCUUUCAGCAGGGACGAAGCGCAAGUGACGGUACCUGCAGAAGAAGCACCGGCUAACUACGUGCCAGCAGCCGCGGUAAUACGUAGGGUGCAAGCGUUGUCCGGAAUUACCGGGCGUAAAGAGUUCGUAGGCGGGUUGUCGCGUCGUUUGGGAAAACCAGCAGCUCAACUGCUGGCUUGCAGGCGAUACGGGCAGACUUGAGUACUGAAGGGGGGACUGGCAUUCCUGGUGUAGCGGUGAUAUGCGCAGAUAUCAGGAGGAACACCGGUGGCGAAGGCGGGUCUCUGGGCAGUAACUGACGCUGAGGAACGAAAGCGUGGGUAGCGAACAGG
rnacentral:rRNA from 1 species